UACAGAGGGGGCAAGCGUUGUUCGGAAUUACUGGGCGUAAAGCGCGCGUAGGCGGCUUUGCAAGUCGGGUGUGAAAUCCCCAGGCUUAACCUGGGAACUGCAUUCGAGACUGCAUUGCUAGAGUAUGGGAGAGGGAAGUGGAAUUUCCGGUGUAGCGGUGAAAUGCGUAGAUAUCGGAAGGAACACCAGUGGCGAAAGCGGCUUCCUGGUCCAGCACCGACGUUCAGGCACGAAAGCGUGGGGAGCAAACAGG
rnacentral:rRNA from 1 species